AUAUUAAAUUGUUCCACGCUUGUAUUGAUUCUUU
rnacentral:sRNA from 1 species